rnacentral:misc_RNA from 1 species
AAGUCGUAACAAGGUUUCCGUAGGUGAACCUGCGGAAGGAUCAUUAACACGUAUCCUACGUAUCAACCCCUUUGUGCACUUUCUGUUAUAGUUGUUGAAGGAUUUGAACUUGAAGGUUAGUGGCGUUGUGAGGUCGCAAGACUUUGCUUCGUUGUUGCCUUCAGGGUCAGAAACUUUCAUAGCUUCAACUAACCCCUUUGUAAACAUUUCUUACUGAAAUAAUGUGAGUGCGUGCUGGAAACGGAUAUCUUGGUUCUC